rnacentral:tRNA from 1 species
GGCUCAGUCGGUAAGAGCAUGAGACUCUUAAUCUCAGAGUUGUGGGUUUGAGCCCAGAAGCA